rnacentral:rRNA from 1 species
AACGAACGGUGGCGGCGUGGAUAAGACAUGCAAGUCGAACGGGACUUUACUUGUAGCAAUACAGGUGAAGUUCAGUGGCGUAAGGGUGCGUAACACGUGGGCAAUCUGCCCGAGGGCGCGGGAUAGCUCGACGAAAGUCGAAUUAAUACCGCAUACGGCUAUUGAGGACAUCCUCGAAAUGCUAAAGACGGCGCAAGCUGUCACUCUCGGAUGAGCCCGCGGCCUAUCAGCUAGUUGGCGGGGUAACGGCCCACCAAGGCUAUGACGGGUAGCUGGUCUGAGAGGACGACCAGCCACACUGGAACUGAGACACGGUCCAGACACCUACGGGUGGCAGCAGUCGAGAAUUUUUCUCAAUGGGGGAAACCCUGAAGGAGCGACGCCGCGUGGAGGAUGAAGGUCUUCGGAUUGUAAACUCCUGUCAUUUGGGAACAAACCUUCCGUUUUACUGGCGGAAGACUGAUAGUACCAGAAGAGGAAGAGACGGCUAACUCUGUGCCAGCAGCCGCCGUAAAA